UACGUAGGUGGCAAGCGUUGUCCGGAUUUACUGGGCGUAAAGAGCGCGCAGGCGGUCGUUCAAGUCGCGUGUGAAAGCCCCCGGCUCAACUGGGGAGGGUCACGCGAUACUGAUCGACUCGAAGGCAGGAGAGGGUAGUGGAAUUCCCGGUGUAGUGGUGAAAUUCGUAGAUAUUCGCAAGAACACCAGUGGCGAAGGCGGCUCACUGGCCCGAUACUGACGCUGAGGCACGAAAGCGUGGGGAGCAAACAGG
rnacentral:rRNA from 1 species